UGAACACUGGCUCUGGGACAAACAAGGCUGGCAAUGCUGGCUCUGGGACAGACGAGGCUUCAAGAACAGGCUCGUUGGCCGUGGAAGGCAUGGGCGUUGGCUCAUUGGCCAUGGCAGGCGUGGGCAUUGGCUCGUUGGCCGUGACAAGUGUGGGCGUUGGCUCGUUGGCCGUGGCUGGCGUGGUAAGAGACAGAAGGAGGUAAACAAAAUUUCAAACUAAAAGUCUCUUAAACACCUAGCGACCUCUGGUGGGCGCUAGGGCAAAAGUCUCAGGUGUGACACUGUUAUGUUGGAGAUUUGGAAGUUACCAUUAUGGUGAAAUUAAAUGCUCACUUCAUUGAGUAAAUGCUGUGCUAACCAUAGCAUAGUUACUAAACUGCACUCUGUAGUGCUUCCAACCAGCAUGUAUUAAGCAUGUGAAAAUUCACUUUCACUUGUUAGUACAUAAAGAAAUAAAAGAGAAUUAUAUGAGUUAGAUUUACACAUCUAAUUUUGUUGGGUUUACCCAAUUUUACUAGGUUCUUUCUACACAAAGCUUUUGUGUUGAGAUAACGUAGUAAUUUUAAAUUAAGAAAUCUAAUUUCAAACACGUGGAACCACUCUACGACUGAAUCAAUUCAGAGAUUACUUAGCAGAGAUGGGCCACUUCUGUUAAAAUGAAUGGGAGAAAUGGAACGCCCAACGGCAGUCAACGGAUGUAGAAAGGAAGUCUCGCCUUACAGGUAAAAGAGACAAUCACCUUUCAGAUACAGACAUCACCUGUCAAUCAACUCGACAAAACGCAUGUGCAUUAGCUAUACAAGCCAAGAAAAUGGCGUUUUUUAGCGUAAUCUGAGGUAAAGAAUUACAAUUUAUGAUACCAGUGUUGUCACAUUUUACUGCUGAUUUGAAAUAUAUCCUUUGAUCAUAAUCUUGACCAAUCGUUUAGGAGAUUUCUGUCUUUUCUCAUUCAAGUAGAUAGGAGCUGCACUUUCAUGACUGGAAAUAGCCUCCCGAGAGCAUUCCAAAGAUGGCUGACAGUGGAUUUGCUAGAAAGACUUUGAUCAAGUUCAGCCAAAAAAGCGAAAUUUUCAGAACUACAUCACUUCCUGUUGCCCAAAAAUGGGGCUUCUCUCUUGUUAGUUGAACAUGAUAAGCAUGUCCUUUGAUUCUGAAGGAAACUGCACCAUCACAUAUUUCUUUGCCUUAAAGUAAUGUUCCAGGUUCAGUACAAGUUAAGCUCAAUUGACAGCAUUUGUGGCAUAAUGUUGAUUACCACAAAAAUUAGUUUCAAGUUGUUCCUCCUUUUCUUUAAAAAAAAUGCAAAAAUCUGGGUUACAGUGAUCCACUAACAAUGGAAGUGAAUGGGGCCAAUUUUUUAAUGUUAAAUUACUCACUGUUUCAAAAGUUUAGCUACAUGACAUAUGGAUAUGCAUGUAAACAUGAUUUUAGUAUGAUAAAAUCACUUACAAACCUUUUCUGUGUAAAGUUAUAGCCAAUUCUACAACUUCAUUACCAUGACGAUGUAAUGUCAACAAACCCUAAAGGCAGGCGUACACGGUGUGAUUUUUGCCUGUCGCAUCGUGUGAGAGGAAUUACAAGCAGCUCACGACCGCUCGUAAGAAAAGAGGAUAAAAUAGUUCAACUUUGGCAGGAGCAGCAAGCUCUGUAUGAUGUUUCCUGUAGUGUCUCCCAUGACAGGGUCAUCAGAGAUGACAUUGAACAGAGGAUUGCUGAAGAGCUACAGCUGUCAGUAGAAGAUGUCCUAACUAGAAUGGCUAUGCUGAGGAUGCAGUUUGAGAAGCUCAUCAAAGGAAAACCCAGCGGGAGUGGCUUUAAACAGCUAACACCAAGGCAAAGUGGAUAAUUCAACAUUUGCAAUUCCUGCAGCCUUUUGUUUUGCACAGACCAAGUGAAACUAGUUUGGAACCGGAACAUGAGACUACUGUUCAAGAAGGAAAGGACAUGGAAAUGGAAAUUGAAAUUGAUCCAUCACCUGGUCCAGAGCAGAGUCCCCUGCGAUCCUCUUUUUCAGACACAACUUGUGAAAAUGAAGAACCUGGCUCAGCAUGACCUGGCUCUGCACCAUCUUGCUCAGCAUGACCUGGCUCUGCACCACCUUGCUCUGCACCAUCUUGCUCUGCAAGACAAGGCUCUGUACCACCGUCAUGUCAUGCCAUGCCAUGCCAAGUACAGGUUUCAGACAAAUGAUGACAACAUUGAGCUACAAAAAAUAGCAAUACUCAAUAAGGUUGCUGACCAAAUUUCCAACAGAGAGGAUAAGGGGGAGUAUUCAUUUGGGAAACAGGUCAGGGAGGAACUCGGGCAAAUUAAAAAUCCCACCCAAUGCAUCCUAUGCAAACUUAUCCAGGCUUCCCCAUGUCUGGAAGUUACUAUUCUCACCAUCCAGCAUACAUUCCUCCUCCACCAUCCUCAGUACCCAUGCCAACACCACCCCCCUUACUGUCCCAGCAAACAUACACACUGCUGCAUCAGCCAGAUGACACUGGGUGCAGUCAGCUACAAGAGCUUUCAUUUUUAUUUCUUUAUUUUUUGGGCUGGAUGGCUGUUCUGAAGUGCUGUAAGAUUUUUUCUGUUUUCUGUG